rnacentral:rRNA from 1 species
UACGGGGGGGGUAAGCGUUGUUCGGAAUUACUGGGCGUAAAGGGCUCGUAGGCGGCCAACUAAGUCAUACGUGAAAUCCCUCAGCUUAACUGGGGAACUGCGUGUGAUACUGGAUGGCUUGGAUUUGGGAGAGGGAUGCGGAAUUCCAGGUGUAGCGGUGAAAUGCGCAGAUAUCGGGAGGAACACCGGUGGCGAAGGCGGUUCUCUGGGCCUGACCUGACGCUGAGGAGCGAAAGCGUGGGGAGCGAACAGG